AGAUAUUCAUGUGAGCUAUUCAUAAUAAAUGUUCUCUAACUCAGUUUCAGGUUCUGCUGCUAAUAUCUCUGCUAGCAUCAAUUCAAUUCCAACGUUAAAUGGCACAAACUUCAGGGCAUGGCAAGAGAACGUUAUGAUUGUUCUCGGAGUCAUGGACCUAGACCUUGCUUUACGGGUCGAUCAAUUUGCUGCACUUACUGAUAAGAGUACCUCUAAUGACAAGAGGGAGAUGGAAAAGUGGGAACGAUCGAACCGCAUAAGCUUAAUGGUCAUGAAGCGUGCUAUUCCAGAAACAUUUCAGGGCACUAUGUCUGAUAAGGUGACUACGGAUAAGG
rnacentral:sRNA from 1 species